CAACGUACAGAACCUACCUUGAUCUGGGGCAUAGCCCGAAGAAAUUCGGAUUAACUCCCCAUAAUAUAGAUGAGUGGCAUCACUUGACUAUUAAAAAUUUAUUGGAUCGAGAUGGCUGUGCGUCCCAUUAGCUAGUUGGUAGGGUAACGGCCUACCAAGGCGACGAUGGGUAGCUGGUGUGAGAGCACGACCAGCCACACGGGCACUGAGACACGGGCCCG
rnacentral:rRNA from 1 species